AUCACCUGUCUCCUCUCACUGAAAGCAAAGAGGAACGGACACCUCAUCAUAACAAGAUCGCCCAGUGACCAGACAUUGCCAGGAGACCCUACCGUAACAAGAAGGUGAAGAUGAUUGGUGCUAUGCCACCGUGUCCCAUGCUGGUGCUCCUCCAUCCUACUGAGUCAAGUUUGAC